GAUGAACGCUGGCGGCGUGCUUAACACAUGCAAGUCGAGCGAGAAGUUUUGAAAAGAUUCUUCGGAUGAAAUUUAAAAUGGAAAGCGGCGGACGGGUGAGUAACGCGUAGGCAACCUGCCCCAUACAAAGGGAUAGCAUUUGGAAACGAAUAUUAAUACCUUAUGAAACUUAACUAGUGCAUGCUAGGUAGGUCAAAGAUUUAUCGGUAUGGGAUGGGCCUGCGUCUGAUUAGCUAGUUGGUGAGGUAACGGCUCACCAAGGCGACGAUCAGUAGCCGACCAGAGAGGGUGAGCGGCCACAUAGGAACUGAGACACGGUCCAAACUCCUACGGGAGGCAGCAGUGGGGAAUAUUGCACAAUGGGGGAAACCCUGAUGCAGCAACGCCGCGUGAACGAUGAAGGCCUUUGGGUCGUAAAGUUCUGUUCUAGGUGAUGAAAACUGACAGUAACCUAGGAGAAAGCCCCGGCUAACUCCGUG
rnacentral:rRNA from 1 species